rnacentral:rRNA from 1 species
UACGUAGGGUGCGAGCGUUGUCCGGAAUUAUUGGGCGUAAAGAGCUUGUAGGCGGUUUGUCGCGUCUGCUGUGAAAAUCCGGGGCUCAACCCCGGACUUGCAGUGGGUACGGGCAGACUAGAGUGUGGUAGGGGAGACUGGAAUUCCUGGUGUAGCGGUGAAAUGCGCAGAUAUCAGGAGGAACACCGGUGGCGAAGGCGGCUUGCUGGGCCAGUUCUGACGCUGAGGAGCGAAAGCGUGGGGAGCGAACAGG